AUGGUCCUCGCCGCACUGGCCGGCCUGUUCGUGAACAAUGCAAAGCCGCUGCGAGGUGGCUCGGCGCCGGGCCGGCUGAAGGCAAAACAGAGGCAUCGCCUGGAAGGCUAUUGCUUGCUCUACUUCGACUACUUCACCGACGCUCCACUGCACGGCGAGAAAGUAUUUCGGCACCAUUAUUGGAUGAGCCGAAAGCUCUUCCUCAGGAUUGUGAAUUCCAUCCGUGAGUGCGACAACUACUUCAAAUGCAAGAAGAAUUGCACCAGCACACUUGGAUUCACAUCACUCCAGAAGUGCACGACAGCUAUGAGGAUGCUUGCAUACGGAGCUUCCGGUGAUUCACUUGAAGACUAUGGACGCAUGGUCGAGUCCACGACCAUUGAGUAUUUGUACAAGUUCUGUAGGGUAGUGGUGGCAGUGUUUGGACCUUAA
rnacentral:rRNA from 1 species